rnacentral:rRNA from 1 species
AUUGAACGCUGGCGGCAGGCCUAACACAUGCAAGUCGAGCGGAGCGGCGGACGGGUGAGUAAUGCCUAGGAAUCUCCCUGGUAGUGGGGGAUAACGUCCGGAAACGGGCGCUAAUACAGCAUAUUUGCAGAAGAGCCUAGGUCGGCUUAGCUAGUUGGGUGGUUAAAGGCCUACCAAGGCGACGAUCCGUAACUGGUCGGAGAGGAUGAUCAAUCACACUGGAACUGAGACACGGUCCAGAAUCCUACGGGAGGGAGCAGUGGGGAAUAUUGGACAAUGGGCGAAAGCCUGAUCCAGCCAUGCCGCGUGUGUGAAGAAGGUCUUCGGAUUGUAAAGCACUUUAAGUUGGGAGGCGUUACCAACAGAAUAAGCACCGGCUAACUUCGUGCCAGCAGCCGCGGUAAUAC